UACGGAGGGUGCAAGCGUUGUCCGGAAUCACUGGGCGUAAAGGGCGCGUAGGCGGCUCAUGAAGGCUGUGGUGAAAAGUCCGGGGCUCAACCUCGGAUCGGCCGUGGCGACUCGUGGGCUGGAGCACUGUAGAGGCGGGUGGAAUUCCGGGUGUAGCGGUGGAAUGCGUAGAGAUCCGGAAGAACACCAGUGGCGAAGGCGGCCCGCUGGGCAGUGGCUGACGCUGAGGCGCGACAGCGUGGGGAGCAAACAGG
rnacentral:rRNA from 1 species